GGCUGGUCCGAUGGCAGUGGGUUAUCAGAACUUAUUUUUUUUUUUUUUUUUUGUCUUUUUCGUUUUUAUCGGUACCAGGGAUCGAACUCACGACUGCCUGCUUGCAAAGCAGGUGCUUAUGCCGCUGAGCUAAAUCCCCAGCCCCGGGUUAUCAGAACUUAUUAACAUUAGUGUCACUAAAGUUGGUAUACCACCCCCCCCACUGCUAAAUUUGACUGGCUUUAA
rnacentral:Y_RNA from 1 species